AUUCUACACAUUAAGAGAAGAACUAGGCCGGAAUACUAUUAAUAGCACCAAUGAUUUGGUGCUAUUAAGUUUUCUGUCCUUAGAUUAAAAGAUCUGCUGUUAGAAUGAUGUAGGCUCCCUAGGGUUGAGUGGGUGGUUGGUUGAAUAGUAUAAUCGAACGGAUGAAAAUGAUAAAAGAGGUAAAUCUAACGGCAGAAAACUUUAUAACACCAAAUACUUUGUGCUAUCGAUAGUAUUCCAACCGGACUCUUAAGAGAAUAUAUAUAUAUAUAUAUAUAGAGAGAGAGAGAGAGAGAGAGAGAGAGAGAGCUAGUCUCCUAUACUAUCUAUACUACCGGGGCUCGGGUACUAUAGUCUUGUUUUCGAUUUUAGGGUGUUCAAAUCAACGAUACACACUGUUAAAACUGAUCUAGGAUAUUUAAAGUUUUUAGAAAUAAAAUUUUAUAUUUUUUCGACAUAGUUUACUUUAUGAUCAAAUCAUUUCAAAAUUGUCAAUUUUCAAUGGCUACUAUGACGAGUUUGGAGUUUAACGGUGUAGAAGAAUCUAAAUUUUUUCAAAUUUUGAUAGAAAAUACUUUAAACUAUUUAGAUUAAGGUUAAUAUUCUUGAUUUUGAAUUUAAAAAUCUCAUGCUUAAAUUUUAAAGAUUAUUCAAUUUUCACCGUCCAUUUUGACAUAAUUUAUUUACUAAGUAAAUGAUGUCGAAAAAAACUAAAAUUUUAUUCCUAAAAACUUCAUAAACCCUAGAUCAUAUUUAACGGUGUAGAUCGUUAAUUUGAACACUCUAAAAUCGAAAACAAAACUAUAGUAUCGAAGCUCCGGUACUAUAAAUAGUAUAGUAGCCUAAUUCUCUCUCUCUCUCUCCNAGCAUCAUGCAUUUGGUGCUAUCAAAUUUUCUGCCAUUAGAUUUAACAUUUUAACUAUUUUCACCCGCUAAAUUAUACUAUUAAACCAACAAAUCACUCAAACCUAGAGGGCCUAUAUCAUCAUAACCGUACAUUUUUUAAUCCAAUGGCCGAAAACCUAAUAGCACCAAAUAUUUGGUGCUAUUGAUAGUAUUACAACCUUGGUCUAUAUAUAUAUAUAUAUACAUAUAUAUAUAUAUAUAUAUAUAUAUAUAUUCCGUACUAUCCUGAUAUUACCCGCUUGUGCUUGCAUGUACUUUUAUUUUAACGGGUUUUCUAGAUUUUGCUGCAAAAAUCUUAAAAACCUUUUUGAUAUUUGGAGACUAAAAAUAUAAUUACACCAAGUGAUAUCAAAAUAGUAGAAGGAUUGUACAUAUAUAAUAUGUAUAGAACUGUGCUAAAAUGUUAUUAAUAGCACUAAGUCAUUAUUGCUAUUAAAUUUUUCACUUUUGGAUGAAGCGAUGAACGGUUAAGAUAAUAGUAGUCCCCAAGAGUUUAGUAGGUGAUUGAUUAAAUAGUAUAUUUUAACGGAUAAAAAUGAUCAAAAAAGUAGAUCGAAGGGUGAAAAAUUUGGUGACACCAAAUGCUCGGUGUUAUUGGUAGUAUUAUAAACGGACUCUAUAUAUAUACAUUUU
rnacentral:lncRNA from 1 species